GGAUAAGCCAGCAAAACAGUUGCCUCUAGCCAGCACUCCUCAACCUGCACCACAACCUUCUGGAGCCAACACCAGUGACACUGUUACUGCUGUGGUGCAGACUAUGGCGGGAUUGAUGACACCCCAAAGGAAUGCGUAUGGGGGGCAACCACCUUCUACAGGAUGGCCAAGCUACAAUCAAGAGAGUUGAGCAGAGGAGUGGCUGAACUAAGUAAAGUACAGAUGGAAGGAGGAAAUUUGAGCAUAUACAGCAGGAGUGAAAGUGGAUCCUCUGAUAAUGGAAUCAGAUGGACUGAGACAAGCCUGACAAAUACCCAAGAGGAAGAAGAGGAGCCGGGGAGAGUAUGGAAUGAACUCCAAGACAAACUCAGAAAGGAGGAGGAAGCAGUGAAAAUACUGGAACGGACCCUGAAAGACAUGGAAUGGAUUGAAAUAAAGCAUAAAGAACAGACUAAGCUGAAUCAAUGCACACCGACAUCAGGGCCAGGUGUACAUUUCAUAAGGCUUGGUACGCACAGCCAAGGAACAGAGGAAUAUGAAGAUGGUAAAGACACCCCGGGUUGGGCCCCCACAGUGUGAACUUGACCAAAGAUUCAUCUGUGGCGUAUUUGAGGGGGGCCUAUGGGAUCAACAGUCCGCUCCCGCACACCACACCAGGAGUAAGACCAAACAGGGUGGGGCUAACAUGAUGCUACUAAGACAACUACCUGGUGGACAAACAGUAUACAAACCUUGGGCUCUUAGGGACUUGCAGACUCUAGUAGAAGCUCUGCCGCUACCAGAAGAGUCUGGAUGUAGGUUGGUGAAGGCCUUUGAGAGCCUGACUGCAGCGGAUGAACUGACAGUAGGAGACAUGGUGGCUGUCAUGAAUAGAUGCAUGGGGGACCAGGAAUGUCAUGAACUCAUGAAUGAUGCAGGGAUGAGAGGGAUGUUUGCCAUAAAGAGUCCAUUUGAUCAAUACCGCAAUGGGAUGUGGACUGCCAUCAGGAGGAAAUACCCCACUCAACCCAGGUCUCAGUUGAUUAAAUCAUUGACCCUAGAAGAGGACGAAACUGUGCCGGUUUAUAUGAAAAAAGCCAGGAUCCUGUGGAGACAGGCCUGGCUGGAAUGCUGAGCAAGAUAAGAAUGAGAUGAAACAUCUAUUUCUGGAACAGUGCAUGAAAGGGCUGCCGAACCAGGUGCGCACAGAGUGUGAAAAAGAAAGUCUUGAAGCAACUGGCAGAGGAUAAGCCAGCAAACCAGUUGCCUCUAGCCAGCACUCCUCAACCUGCACCACAACCUUCUGGAGCCAGUGACACUGUUACUGCUGUGGUGCAGACUAUGGCGGGAUUGAUGACACCCCAAAGGAAUGCGUAUGGGGGGCAACCACCUUCUACAGGAUGGCCAAGCUACAAUCAAGAUCCAGACAGAGGGGCUAACCUCUCCUGUUAUAGAUGUGGAGGCUAUGGUCACUGGGCAUGGAAUUGUGGGCAGUCAUCAGGAGUAGUCCGGAGAAGAGGUGCUGCCGAGGCCACCGCGGUCCCAGACGAACCAGAGCCAGACCCAGACACACUCCUCCACCACUCCAGGCCUGACCCUGCCUCCACCAACUAAGCUACCAAAUCCUAUCCAGGUAAUUAAUGUUAAGGUUAUCACAGAUGGCGACCAAUUGGGUACUGAAACUGGGUAUGACGGUAGGGAAAAAUAUGUGGUUGACAUACAUGCAAUAUACUGCCAAGACAUUACAAAGGAAGGACUGUGUUAUUUGUGGCCAUACUAGGCCUGUAUUGGCUACUCAUCCAUUUGCCUUGGGGAAGGAGGUAGCUGUAUACUGGAAAGUUUUACCAUGUUAAACCUAACUCCACCCUUUGUAAGACUCUGUCUCUAGUGUUCCCGGAAGUCCCUCCUCAAAAGGCUCCAUGGGGUGUUAAGACGUACGGAGGUAACUACAGUUGUAUCACUGGUACAGGUAGGGGUUUUGACUCUGGGCGGUUGCCUGCAGCAGAUUGUAAUAGUAACAUAACCAUUAAUGCCACCUGGCCAGUGAAAGGCUCGAAUCAAACUAAGGGUGUUGCUGAUGUAUGGUGGAUGUGUGGCCCAAACAGGCAGGAACCUGUCCUUAGAGGUAACUGGCAGGGUAUGUGUGCUUUAGCCAGUCUGAUAAUACCACUAACCAUUAUUGAAGUUACAGCUAAUCAGCUCCUGGGAUCUACUAGAAAAGCACCUAAUGAUGUUCAUCCGUACUCCAGAUAUAAGCGUGAUACACCUUGGUCUGAGGAAACAGAUAAUACACAUUUCAACCUACUAGGUGUGCCAGUAGAUGUUCCUCAGGAAUUCCAGGCCCUAAACAGGAAUGAUGGUUUAUGGCAUCAACUACCAAUUCUUGGCUCCGCUAUUGUAGAUGCUAAACAGACUUCUUGGAUUAAUUAAAUCUACUAUAAUCAACAGAGAUUUGUUAAUUACACCCACACAGCUCUUACUGGUAUGGCUGAGCAAUUGGAGGCUGCUUCCAGGACCGCCAGGCAGAAUAGAUUGACUUUAGAUAUGAUCCUGGCCAGUCAGGGAGGGGUUUGCAAAAUGUUUGGUGAACAAUGUUGUACAUUUAUACCUAAUAAUACCAGUCCUGAUGGGAGUAUAUCAAAAGCAUUGGUUGGGUUGGACGAGCUUUCGGCAGAAAUGAAGGGCAUGGCUGGGGUGGAGGAGUCUGGCUGGAUGUCUUGGAUGGGGGUGUGGCUUGGUGGGUAUGCAUCAAUGGUGGUUACUGGAUUUCUGACCCUAAUUCUUGUGUUUUUAUUAUUGAUGUGUUGUGCUGCUUGCAUCAUACCGUGUUUUAAGAAGUCAGGCAUGAUGCCUUUGUUUGAUGCGCCAGUUGGAGAUGCUGAUACUGAAUCCAGCUUUCAGGGGAGGAUGGGGCUGACUGAGGUUGACCCCUAGUUUGCUGUGGGUGAGGUCGUGGAAUGAUAACUUCUUAAAUACAUAACGUGUACGAUAUAACCUGUCCUCUCUUAUGUGAAGGUUUAGAGUCCCUGGGUGGCAAGGAGCCCACCUGGUACUGUCACGGUUCAUGAAUCCACUGCCUCCCUCUCUCUUUCUCUCUCUCUCUCUCUCUCUCUCCCUCUCUCUCUCUCUCUCUCCAGUGUUUGUGUGGGCGUGGUUCCCAAUCUCGGCCUGAUUGUCUGCGCCAGCUGGAACCACUUAUCUUCCCUUUAUAUGUUCUGUUACCAGUGUUUCUUGUUGUCAGAUCGUUGUUUCUUCUCUGAGGUUGUGUCGUGUGUCCGUGCUCUUCUCUUGUGUGGAUUAUCUGCUGUGCUCCUUCCUACUCUUCCGGACACACUCCCCUGGUUUUCUCAGCACGUAUCAUUGGAAGAUGCGCCCGAGUUCCUGGGUCGGAUUCCUUCUGAGUACAGUCUGUCUGUCAUGUUGCUGCUGUGAACUACAUUCAUUAAACCAUCGUUGCUUGCA